rnacentral:rRNA from 1 species
UACGUAGGGACCAAGCGUUGUUCGGAUUUACUGGGCGUAAAGCGCGCGCAGGCGGCGGUGCUGGCCCGGCGUGAAAGCCCCCGGCUCAACCGGGGAGGGUCGUCGGGGACCGCACCGCUUGAGGGCGGUAGGGGCUGGUGGAAUGCCUGGUGUAGUGGUGAAAUGCGUAGAGAUCAGGCGGAACACCCGUGGCGAAGGCGGCCAGCUGGGCCGUCCCUGACGCUGAGGCGCGAAGGCGUGGGGAGCGAACGGG